rnacentral:rRNA from 1 species
UACGGGGGGGGCAAGCGUUGUUCGGAAUUACUAGGCGUAAAGGGCUCGUAGGUGGCCAACUAAGUCAUGCGUGAAAUCCCCAGGCUCAACCUGGGAACUGCGUCUGAUACUGGAUGGCUUGAAUUCGGGAGAGGGAUGCAGAAUUCCAGGUGUAGCGGUGAAAUGCGUAGAUAUCUGGAGGAAUACCGGUGGCGAAGGCGGCAUCCUGGACCGGUAUUGACGCUGAGGCGCGAAAGCCAGGGGAGCAAACGGG